rnacentral:rRNA from 1 species
UAGUCCACGCCGUAAACGAUGUGUGCUAGAUGUCGGGGUCCAUAGGAUUCGGUGUCGCAGCUAACGCACUAAGCACGCCGCCUGGGGAGUACGGUCGCAAGAUUAAAACUCAAAGGAAUUGACGGGGACCCGCACAAGCGGUGGAGCAUGUUCUUUAAUUCGACGCAACGCGAAGAACCUUACCUACACUUGACAUCCUGAUCGCGUUUUCUAGAGAUAGAUUACUUCAGUUCGGCUGGAUCAGUGACAGGUGGUGCAUGGCUGUCGUCAGCUCGUGUCGUGAGAUGUUGGGUUAAGUCCCGCAACGAGCGCAACCCUUGUCUUUAGUUGCCAUCAUUUAGUUGGGCACUCUAGAGAAACUGCCGGUGACAAACCGGAGGAAGGUAAGGAUGACGUCAAGUCAGCAUGCCCCUUACGCUCUGGGCUACACACGUGCUACAAUGGUCGUGACAAGAGUUGCUAGUCUGCGAAGGCAAGCCAAUCUCAUAAACGC